rnacentral:rRNA from 1 species
GACGAACGCUGGCGGCGUGCCUAACACAUGCAAGUCGAACGGAGAUAUGAUUUCGGUUGUAUCUUAGUGGCGAACGGGUGAGUAACGCGUGAGCAACCUGACUCUUAGAGGGGGAUAACACUCGGAAACGGGUGCUAAUACCGCAUAAGACCACGACAUGGCAUCAUGACGAGGUCAAAGGAGCAAUCCGCUGAGAGAGGGGCGCGCGUCCCAUUAGAUAGAUGGCGGGGUAACGGCCCACCAUGUCAACGAUGGGUAGCCGAGCUGAGAGGCUGAGCGGCCACACUGGAACUGAGACACGGUCCAGACUCCUACGGGAGGCAGCAGUGGGGAAUAUUGGGCAAUGGGCGCAAGCCUGACCCAGCAACGCCGCGUGAGGGAAGAAGGCUUUCGGGUUGUAAACCUCUGACCUUGGUGACGAAACAAAUGACGGUAGCCAAGGAGGAAGCCCCGGCUAACUACGUGCCAGCCGCCGCCGUAA